UACGUAGGGACCGAGCGUUGUCCGGAAUCAUUGGGCGUAAAGCGCGUGUAGGCGGCUUUGCAAGUCGGGUGUGAAAUCCCUCAGCUCAACUGAGGAAGUGCGCCCGAAACUGCAGAGCUUGAGUACCGGAGAGGAUGGUGGAAUUCCCCAAGUAGAGGUGAAAUUCGUAGAUAUGGGGAGGAACACCGGUGGCGAAGGCGACCAUCUGGACGGAUACUGACGCUGAGACGCGAAAGCGUGGGGAGCAAACCGG
rnacentral:rRNA from 1 species